GAGGUGCUUCUUCAUGGCUAUCUGAGAGCACAAGGCUAGGCUUCUGAAGCUGAUUUGGAGAGCCUAUGUGUUUCCCACUGUUUGUUUCUGUAUGUGGGCACCAAAGUCACACAGGGAAGGCCUGGGGACUUCACAGGGCACCUCUAAGAUGCUGGUUUCCCCAUAAUUGCUGGUGGAAGAUGGCCUUGCUUUAGCUACAGAGGCCAAGAGAAGGCAGAGUGUCAACUGAAACCCAGUGACAACAUUUACUUUCUUGACAGGCUUUACCUUUCUUAGGUGUUGCCUUAGUGCAAGAACAUACCCAGGGCCAGUACCUCUCUCCUGAACCCUAUCCUUAAUGACAUGAAAGAGUGUUUGCUGAGCACUAUAGGUACCCCGCAGUGCAGAGGGCACAUGAACACACCAGCCCCGGUCCCUCACUUGGCUCCUCGGGAGAUUGGUGCUACCUAGGAAGAGAGUACAUAGAUAAGACACAGAAAAGAGUUGGGGCUUCCCAACUCUUGCCAUAAGAUUGCCACUUAUGACCAUGUAAUCAUAUCCUAUGGGUGGGGGAAGGGAGACUUUUAGUAUGUCAUGUCAGUGUGUCCUUUUUCUUCCGUUCACGACAAGAGGCUGACAGUAACUCUGGUUCUGAUUGCCCAUCUAGUAUUUUGUUCUCCCAUCAGGUCUUUCUUCUUUAUCUAUUCUUACUACCUCUCCAUCAGUGUGAUUCUGGUGAUGCACUCUCUGGCUGUGUUGGCCCUUCCUAAUGAGGGUGACACAAAAUGACUAUAAAUAGCACUGACCCUGCAGCAAUCCAUUUGAGUUAGGGUAGAGACACAUCCCUCUCCCCAUAGGUUAGGAGGUUGGGCCAAGCUAUAUUUAGCCUUUCUUCCUCUUUUCCCACACAUGUGUUAAGAUUUCUUCAGGAGUUUCUCUUUGAUUUGUGUAUGAUAGUAUGAGAAACUUGAAAAAGAUAAAGCAGAACCUUAACUGAAACAUGCCCUCCUGGUAGUUAAUAAAAAUGAAAUAGGAGCUGAAAGCAUCUAUUGCUAAGCUGAACUGAGUAGGCAUGGAAGGGCUGACAUGGACGAUCCAAGGUUCUGGGUGGCCUGUUGGAGGGAGAGUUGAUAGAGUCUGCAGAACCAGUUAGAUAGGACUUAGAUUUCCUGUCAUAAGUAUUAGGAUGACUCCUAAGCUGUCGUCUCUGAACUGAUUCCAUUCUGGAUGCCAGAAAGAAUUACAAAUGAUCCCCAAAACUUGAAGAUGCUCAAGAUUCCAGAAGUCCUAAAUCACAGCCAUAUGUUAUUGAAUUUAGGGAAAGCAAUGAAUUUGUUUGCCAUUGUGAAUUUAGGAAAAGCAAUGAGUUUAUUUCCUGUCUUUAUGAACAGCUUUGACUUUCGACUGUGCUUUGUAAAACCAAAAUCAUGACUUGGUCAUCUUAUAAGCAAGAACCUCUUAGAAAUCCUCAGAACAAGGAAACGUGGGACCAGCUCUGUCCUGGUGGUUUGUGGAUUAGCUGGUGCGCCUUCUUUGCUGUCAUCCAUUGUCAUAAAUAUGGGAGGCAGCUACAUGCUCUGGGAUGCUUGGCUGGAAGAAAAGAUACCCUGCCCUGCUUCCCUCUGACACUUUGUUGAGAGACCCAGUUGGCCGUGCCACCGCUCUGCCUUGCUCUCCAAUUACUCCCAUUUUUGCCUGGAGGAAAUGCCACUGUUAGGCCCCUACUUCUGUCUGGGAGGUAUUUACUGCUCAUUACCCCGGUAACCACGUAAAUCCAGGUUUAUUUUGCUUCUUCUCUGUUGCUCUUUCCCAAAAACAGAAUUGAGGAUAGCAGUAUUUUUCUUUGUAUUAACAGUUGAGACUUAAGAAUAAAGAUAGAAAAACUGUCGGAGUGGCCCAGCAUCUGGAGUUGACCCUGGCUGACUUUGCUCCACUGUAAUCCACUGAAGGGCCCGAAUGGCUAAGAUGACUCAGCUUUAGGCUGGGGGUCCUGAGAGCAGGAUGCACCGUGUGUUCAGAGCCUUCUACCAAGGUACACUUCCUUGGGAUUUUGACUUGAUAAAACCAAGAACAUCUGCUACAACUCUAGAUUUUUUAGUAUAAAGCUCAAGGCCGAGGUAAAUGAUGAGGCACUUGGGAACAGAGUUGACCCUCGUACCAGGCUGGGCGGUUGUAAGCCUCUCAGACUAAGUGUCCAGAAUACCAGCAUGUAGAGUUCUAUAUUUAACUGCAGGUGGGAGUGAGGCGGGUGUCAACUUUUAUUUUGAUCACCUUGUAGUCUUUAAACCCUUGGUCUCAGGCCAGGUCCACAACUUGCCUUCCAGUCACUUGCCUGCCCUUCUCUGGUGGUCAUUGUGUUAAGCUGGUAGUCACUAAUCUUUGUGUCCUAUCUUGACUGGGCCCAUGUAGGAGCAGCUUAGCUCUAAGGCCCAGAGAACCUUUAUUCCUUUUUGCUCCUUGAAGGAGAGGAAUUGAACUGGUGAAAACAGCGUCUUCUGCAGCAUGGGAAGAAGAAAAUAAAAAUCUCCUUUCCAACAA
rnacentral:lncRNA from 1 species